GGUCACGUAGGUCAGUUGGCUAGAACUUUGGCUGUGCUGAAGCCUUACAUUUGCUGGCGUGGGUUCGAAUUCCACCGAGACCA
rnacentral:tRNA from 1 species